rnacentral:rRNA from 1 species
CUGCUGCCUCCCGUAGGAGUCUGGUCCGUGUCUCAGUACCAGUGUGGGGGACCUUCCUCUCAGAACCCCUACGCAUCGUCGGUUAGGUGGGCCGUUACCCCGCCUACUGCCUAAUGCGCCGCAUGCCCAUCCCUGUCCGGCCGAAGCCUUUCCUGCCUCCGGGAUGCCCCGGUGGCAUGUACGCGGGUUUAGCCCGCCUUUCGGCGGGUUGUCCCCCUGACAGGGGCAGGUUGCAUACGUGUUACUCACCCGGGCGCCGGUCGCCGGCGGAGAAAG